UCAGGAUGAACGCUAGCGGCAGGCUUAACACAUGCAAGUCGAGGGGUAUAGUUCUUCGGAAUUAGAGACCGGCGCACGGGUGCGUAACGCGUAUGCAAUCUACCUUUCACAGAGGGAUAGCCCAGAGAAAUUUGGAUUAAUACCUCAUAGUAUAGUACCUUGGCAUCAAGGAACUAUUAAAGUCACAACGGUGAAAGAUGAGCAUGCGUCCCAUUAGCUAGUUGGUAUGGUAACGGCAUACCAAGGCUACGAUGGGUAGGGGUCCUGAGAGGGAGAUCCCCCACACUGGUACUGAGACACGGACCAGACUCCUACGGGAGGCAGCAGUGAGGAAUAUUGGACAAUGGGCGCAAGCCUGAUCCAGCCAUGCCGCGUGCAGGAUGACGGUCCUAUGGAUUGUAAACUGCUUUUGCACAGGAAGAAACAACGCUACGUGUAGCGUCUUGACGGUACUGUGAGAAUAAGGAUCGGCUAACUCCGUGCCAGCAGCCGCGGUAAUACGGAGGAUCCAAGCGUUAUCCGGAAUCAUUGGGUUUAAAGGGUCCGUAGGCGGUCUUAUAAGUCAGUGGUGAAAUCUCCCCGCUCAACGGGGAAACGGCCAUUGAUACUGUAGGACUUGAAUUAUUAGGAAGUAACUAGAAUAUGUAGUGUAGCGGUGAAAUGCUUAGAGAUUACAUGGAAUACCAAUUGCGAAGGCAGGUUACUACUAAUGGAUUGACGCUGAUGGACGAAAGCGUGGGUAGCGAACAGGAUUAGAUACCCUGGUAGUCCACGCCGUAAACGAUGGAUACUAGCUGUUGGGAGCAAUCUCAGUGGCUAAGCGAAAGUGAUAAGUAUCCCACCUGGGGAGUACGUUCGCAAGAAUGAAACUCAAAGGAAUUGACGGGGGCCCGCACAAGCG
rnacentral:rRNA from 1 species